rnacentral:rRNA from 1 species
GAUGAACGCUGGCGGCGUGCCUAACACAUGCAAGUCGAACGGAAAGACCGUGAGCUUGUGCCUUUGCCGUUAGCGGAUGGCGGGUGGGUAACGCGUGGAUACCCUACUUAUCUUUCGGGGAUAAUUACGUAAAAACGGCUAUGAUACCAUAGAAUAUAUUGAACCGCAGGGUGCAGUGGAGAAUUGCGGUUUUGGUGUCUGUACUAGCUGCUUCCGAGCCGCAUUGGCUAGUUGGUAAGGUAACGGCUUACCAGGGCUACGAAGCGUAGCCGAGCUGACAGGGUGAUCGGCCACACUGGAACUGGGACACGGUCCAGACUCCUACGGGAGGCAGCAGUCGGGAAUAUUAGGCAAUGGGCGCAAGCCUGACCCAGCCAUGCCGCGUGAGUGAAGAAGGCCUUCGGAUCGUAAAACCCUGUUAUUGGGGAAGAACAGCUGUGGAAUUAAACCCCGCCGUACUGACGGUACCUAAUCAGAAAGCACCGGCUAACUACGUG